rnacentral:rRNA from 1 species
GACGAACGCUGGCGGCGUGCUUAACACAUGCAAGUCGAACGAUGAAGCUGGAGCUUGCUCCGGUGGAUUAGUGGCGAACGGGUGAGUAACACGUGAGCAAUCUGCCCUUGACUCUGGGAUAACUGCGGGAAACUGUAGCUAAUACCGGAUACUUUCACUGGAAGGCAUCUUCUGGUGAAGAAAGAAUUUCGGUCAAGGAUGAGCUCGCGGCCUAUCAGCUUGUUGGUGAGGUAACGGCUCACCAAGGCGACGACGGGUAGCCGGCCUGAGAGGGUGACCGGCCACCCUGGGACUGAGACACGGCCCAGACUCCUACGGGAGGCAGCAGUGGGGAAUAUUGCACAAUGGGCGCAAGCCUGAUGCAGCAACGCCGCGUGAGGGAUGAAGGCCUUCGGGUUGUAAACCUCUUUCAGCAGGGAAGAAGCGAAAGUGACGGUACCUGAAGAAGAAGCACCGGCUAACUAUGUGCCAGCAGCCGCCGUAAAAC